rnacentral:lncRNA from 1 species
CUCUCUCUGGGGACUCCUCAAUCUCUCCCAUGCCAGGAAAGGUUCCCCAUACCUUCACUCCUCCCAGAAUAAGCUGCUGAAUCCCAGCUCACCUCCCCAGGCAUCUACUAUAGCUACCAUAGUCUGCUUUCCUCACGCUCAUCCAGAAAGAGCUUCUGCUUCAGCUUUUGCCUGGCCCUGCCUAGCAGGCAGGAGCUCCCACCCAAGAUCUUCCACCCCAGCCCACUGAGGAGAAGGCCUGGUGGUAAGAGGAACUGAGGUGAGGCUUCUUUCAGUGUGAAGAAGACAAGGCUCAAGAGAAUAGGAUAAGGGCCACCCAGAGGACACAGUGCAGGCUGCUGGCUCUGAGACAAACUGAGAAGGACAAGAAAGUUCCAGCCAAUCAAUCCCAGCUCCAGUGGGGUGUGAGUCUCCCAACGAGCUCGGCAGCUGAGUUCCCAUCAAUCCCCGACCCCCAUCCCCCGCUGCCUGUCUGGCUCUCCAUAUAUCAUCCCCCUUUGCUUGCUCACCACAGGCGAGAACACACAUGCAGGAUCGAUGGAGAGCUACAGCCUGCACAGGCAAUGCACUAUUCUCUGUGCAGCCGCAGGGCCCAGCCCAGAUAAUCCAGUGACACAGAGAAUCCAGCAUUUGGCUUGAGGGGUCAUGAGACUGGGAAAUUCUCAGCUUUUAAAAUCCAAUAAAAAAAAUAUCUGCAUG